UACGUAGGUGACAAGCGUUGUCCGGAUUUACUGGGCGUAAAGAGCGCGCAGGCGGUCGAUCAAGUCGAGUGUGAAAGCCCCCGGCUCAACUGGGGAGGGUCAUUCGAUACUGAUCGACUCGAAGGCAGGAGAGGGUAGUGGAAUUCCCGGUGUAGUGGUGAAAUGCGCAGAUAUCAGGAGGAACACCGGUGGCGAAGGCGGCUUUCUGGGCCUUACCUGACGCUGAGGAGCGAAAGCUGGGGGAGCAAACGGG
rnacentral:rRNA from 1 species